rnacentral:rRNA from 1 species
AAGCCUACUCUAGCCCAACCACACUUUCACUUGAAAGCAAGUAAAAACCAACUUAGCAGUCUAACUAAAACAUUUUAUAAACUUAGUAUAGGUGAUAGAAAAGAACAUAUCUGCCCUGGAGCUAUAGAGAUUUCGUACCGUAAGGGAAUGAUGAAAUAAUAAUGAAAAAUAUCAAGCACUAAACAGCAAAGAUAUACCCUUGUACCUUUUGCAUCAUGAUUUAGCCAGAACAAUCAAGCAAAACGAAUUUAAGCUUGCCUUCCCGAAACCCAAGCGAGCUACUUACAAGCAGCUAUAUAUGAGCAAACCCGUCUCUGUUGCAAAAGAGUGGGAUGACUUGUUAGUAGAAGUGAAAAGCCAACCGAGCUGGGUGAUAGCUGGUUGCCCGCGAAAUGAAUUUAAGUUCCCUCCUAAUUUCCUCUUCCAAGAAAACAGAAUAACUCCCACGUAGAAAAUUAGGAGCAAUUUAAAGGAGGUACAGCUCCUUUAAAAAAGGAUACAACCUCUCCAAGCGGAUAAAACUAUGAACACCAAACUGUGGGCCUUUAAGCAGCCACCAAUGAAGAGUGCGUCAAAGCUCCAUCAUAAAAAAUUCUAAGACAUUAUGAAUCCCUCACUAACAGCGUGCUAACCUAUACCCAUAGAAGUAUUCAUGCUAAAAUAAGUAACUUGGACUCCUUCCUCUCAAGCGCAAACUUACAUCACCAACAAAUUAUUAACAGACGUAACUAGUACUAAAAUUAUUACAAGACUUCGUACUUCAUAUCCUGUUAAUCCAACCCAGGAGCGCCUAUUAGAAAGAUUUAAAUUCACAAAAGGAACUAGGCAAACCCAGGGCCCGACUGUUUACCAAAAACAUAGCCUUUAGCUGACCAAGUAUUAAAGGUGAUGCCUGCCCAGUGACAUAAAGUUUAACGGCCGCGGUAUCCUAACCGUGCGAAGGUAGCGCAAUCAAUUGUCUCAUAAAUCGGGACUUGUAUGAAUGGCUAAACGAGGUCUUAACUGUCUCUUGUGAAUAAUCAGUGAAAUUGAUCUCCCUGUACAAAAGCAAGGAUAAUACCAUAAGACGAGAAGACCCUGUGGAACUUAAAAAUCAACGACCACUACCUAUCUAACUCAAACCUAUAUGGCUUAUCAAAAAUCAAAUGCUGGUCUACAUUUUUUGGUUGGGGCGACCUUGGAGCAAAGCAGACCCUCCAAAAAUAAGACCUACCCUCUUAACUAAGAGCAACCCCUCAAUGUACUAAUAGUGCCCAGACCCAGUAUAUCUGAUUAAUGAACCAAGCUACCCCAGGGAUAACAGCGCAAUCUCCUUCAAGAGCCCAUAUCGACAAGGAGGUUUACGACCUCGAUGUUGGAUCAGGACAUCCUAAUGGUGCAGCCGCUAUUAAGGGUUCGUUUGUUCAACGAUUAACAGUCCUACGUGAUCUGAGUUCAGACCGGAGCAAUCCAGGUCGGUUUCUAUCUAUGACAAACUUUCCCCAGUACGAAAGGACCGGAAAAGUAAGGCCAAUGCCUCAAGCACGCCUUCCCCAAAGCAAUGAAUACAUCUAAAUUGCUACUAAGGUACCAAAAACUAAACUUCACGCCCUAGAAAAAGGCCG